rnacentral:rRNA from 1 species
UGGGGAAUAUUGGACAAUGGGCGAAAGCCUGAUCCAGCCAUGCCGCGUGUGUGAAGAAGGUCUUCGGAUUGUAAAGCACUUUAAGUUGGGAGGAAGGGCAGUAAGCGAAUACCUUGCUGUUUUGACGUUACCGACAGAAUAAGCACCGGCUAACUCUGUGCCAGCAGCCGCGGUAAUACAGAGGGUGCAAGCGUUAAUCGGAAUUACUGGGCGUAAAGCGCGCGUAGGUGGUUCGUUAAGUUGAAUGUGAAAGCCCCGGGCUCAACCUGGGAACUGCAUCCAAAACUGGCGAGCUAGAGUAGGGCAGAGGGUGGUGGAAUUUCCUGUGUAGCGGUGAAAUGCGUAGAUAUAGGAAGGAACACCAGAGGCGAAGGCGACCACCGGGCCUAACACUGACGCUGAGGUACGAAAGCAUGGGGAGCAAACAGG